UUAGUGGCGGACGGGUGAGUAACGCGUGGGUAACCUGCCUUAUACAGGGGGAUAACACUUAGAAAUAGGUGCUAAUACCGCAUAAGCGCACGGGGCUGCAUGGCCCAGUGUGAAAAACUCCGGUGGUAUAAGAUGGACCCGCGUCUGAUUAGCUUGUUGGCGGGGUAACGCCCACCAAGGCGACGAUCAGUAGCCGGCCUGAGAGGGUGGACGGCCACAUUGGGACUGAGACACGGCCCAAACUCCUACGGAAGGCAGCAG
rnacentral:rRNA from 1 species